CCCAAUAAAAGGGAAGAACAUAUAGAGAGUCGCUCACUGAAGGUGAAAGAGACUCCUGAAACCGACUCCUGUCCCAGAGCAGUCACAGCCGGUGCCCCAAGCGAAGAACAUGGACAAUAGAGGCUGUUGUGGUCAUCCUCCCCACCACCCGCACCAUCACGUCCACCCUCCGCACCAUCAUGUCCACCCUCCGCACCAUCCCGUUCACCCUCCGCACCAUCCUGUUCAUCCUCCGCACCAUCCUGUUCAUCAUCCUGUUCACCCACCGCACCAUCCCGUUCAUCACCCGCACCAUCAUGGUCACCAUGGGCACCAUCAUUAAACCUCCAGUCAAGCAGGAGGAAGAAGAAUUCCUAAUUAAGAAGCAAGAUAUAUCCCCCGGUGAUCAAAUGACUGAUUUUCUAUUCUUCCUGCUGGAGGGGGGCGCUUGACCCCCAGGCAGCAAAUCCUUACUGAACUCUUAUACAAGUUUCUUGCAGUGGAAGUUUGGACCGGCCUCCCAGCCUGUUCUCUUUCCAGCGCUCCCUGUUCCAAGGGAAGGUCCUCUGUUUGCUCUUAUGUGUUUGGAAUCUGAGGCCCCCCAGCCUACAGUCUUUCCUGGUGUGCCCCCCAUUUUCAGAUCAUGUGCUCCCAUGAGUUUGGCAUUAUUUGCCCUGUAUGGAUCCUGUGUAUCCAUGAGAGGGGUUCUGCCCAUGGCCCAGCCAACUUGGCAUCUAUCCCUGUAUCUAUGCACUGGGCACCCCCAGCCCUUCUCCCACCUGUUGGGCUCACAGCUCCACAUGAGUAGUUGAGAGGAAGGCUUGAUUCAGGAUCUAUAAAGUGCCCAAUGGAGUAUUGGCCGGGAGGUGGCUGUAGGCAAUAGAGAGAGGAGAGGACAAAAGAGAGAGGACAGUGGGAGUAGGGGAGGCACAGGGAGAGCCGGACAGACAUUGGGGUACAGAGGAAAGGGGGAGAUGGGAAAGUGGGUGACAGAUGAAAGUGCUGGUCUCUACUGGAGCUGUAACACUGGGCCUUUGGGGGUGACUGGGCUGAAUUAGCUCCCUUCAUGCUGAGACCUGGGGGCUCAUUUAUGAACACAAGGGCAGACAGCCAAGUGCCCAGUUGGACACAAAAUUGAGGAUUCCCUGCUUUGUGGGUAAAUAUCAUGGUGACUUGCACCCCAGAAUGGCCCUUUGCCCAUUGCCCUGGGUUAGUAAAAGAGCCCCCUAAGCCUCAGAAUUGCACCAACCCUUAGCUCAGACCAACGGGGCCCUACAGCCCUGGCAGGUUGGGGCGGCUGUAAAUUACAGUUCAACAAUAUCAGGGAACCCAUAAGUGACAUAAACAGCUGUUUCUAAGCGUCACCUCUCAGAAUAAACCCCCAGAUAUGGCCCUUGCCCUGUAUAACACAGGGGGCUCCACUGAGCAAAGUGUAUGGAAAAGCCAAACUUACACUCCUCUGUGCUGAUUGGUGGAAUGCAGGAGUGUUCCCUCCAAUCAGGGGAUAUUGCUGAAACAAACAUUAUUUUGUUCCAUUACCAAGUCCUGUGGGUUCAGCUCUAUAUUAUUCCCUGUACCGCAGCCCCCUGGGAAUUUCUCUUUAUCUUUCUCAUCCUGAACUUGCCCUUGGAAAGCAAAUACAAAAUGUGUGGUGUUUUCUACCUUGUAUCCUAUGAAAUAAUCCAUGAUUUUUAUUUGACACUAAUUAACUGUGACUGAAAUAAUGUUAAUGAACUGGGGUGUAAUUUACAAACAUUCGCAAUUACACCAAUAAUGUUACCCAGAGAGGAUCAGCUGACCCUGUACUUCCCCAUAGCAACUAAUCAGAUCUGUGCUUUCAUUUUCUACCUGAUCAAAACGUAGUGCUGAUUGGUUCCUAUGUAGCAGGGAUUGGUUGCUAUGUAGCAGGGAUUGGUUGCUAUGUAGCAGGAAUUUGUUGCUAUGUAGCAGUUUCUACCUUAUUAAAUGAGGCCCUAGGACUGUAAUAGUUAAUUGCUUUAGCUGUUCUGAUAGAUAUCAAAUUUUGAAAUGAAAAUGAUCAUAUAUAACAUUUAUUGCUACAAUAAAAUGCUGAUUAAAGUGAUAAAAUGUGAAAAUUCUGUUAAAUCAAAAUAAAGGGGGAUAAAACCAUUUGCACCAAUAAAGAACCAUGUGAUUGCGCCUCUU